AAUCUCACAAUAGGGAUGUCCCGAUAAAAUUGGAACAAUAAAGAGAAGAUGAACAUAGUCCCUACACAAGGAUGACACACACAAAUCAAGAAAUGGUAUAAGAGUCA